rnacentral:rRNA from 1 species
GGGCCCGCACAAGCGGUGGAGCAUGUGGUUUAAUUCGAUGAUACGCGAGGAACCUUACCAGGGCUUAAAUGUAGAACGACCGAUUUGGAAACAAGUCUUCUCUUUGAGCGGUCUACAAGGUGCUGCAUGGUUGUCGUCAGCUCGUGCCGUGAGGUGUCGGGUUAAGUCCCUUAACGAGCGCAACCCCUAUCUCUAGUUGCCAGCGAUUCGGUCGGGAACUAUAAGGGGACUGCCGGUGAUAAACCGGAGGAAGGUGAGGACGACGUCAAGUCAUCAUGGCCCUUACGAGUAGGGCUACACACGUGCUACAAUGGGGAAUACAGACGGACGCUAAGCCGCGAGGUGGUGCU